rnacentral:lncRNA from 1 species
ACCACCUCCCCCUUGGUCUCCGGCACCGGAUCAUCGCCGCCCCGACCUCCCCCGGUCGCCGCCUCGCCGCCGGCAAGCUCCAACCCGAGAGGAAGUGUGCGGGCCCGAUCUCCGCCGCCGCGCCACCGGCUGCUGCCCGCCGCCGGCCAGCACCUCCCCCGGACCUCCCCGACCUUCUGCUCCCAUCACCGGCCGGAGCGCCCGCCGCCCGAUCGCCGGCGGCCAUCCCUAGCUCCCACAGCUCCGGUGA